AGCGGCAGCAGCAUCACCGGCUGUAGGGUUGGCAGCGGCGGCGACCCCGAGGACCCCGGGCACGCCGAGCGCGCGACACUGCUCGCGGCGAGCCCGGGAGUGAUGGCGAGGCCCUCGCUGGCCGCCCGCGGCUGAGACGCCCCACCCCACCCCGCCCCGCCCGGAGCGGCCCGCCCCGCCUGGCCCUGCCCUGCUCCCUGCCGGCUGCAGCCCCGGCGUUUCCUAGUCGGCGCGGGCAGCCGCCCAGAAGAGGUGCGGCCUCCGCACAGGCUGGGGGCGUCGGCGCCGCGGGGCCCGCCAUGGCCGCGUCGGAGCUCUACACAAAGUUUGCCAGGGUUUGGAUACCUGAUCCCGAGGAAGUUUGGAAGUCAGCAGAGCUGCUCAAAGAUUAUAAGCCAGGAGAUAAAGUCCUCCUGCUUCACCUUGAGGAUGGAAGGGAUUUGGAAUAUCGUCUAGAUCCAAAGACGAAGGAGCUGCCUCACUUAAGAAACCCUGACAUACUUGUGGGUGAAAAUGACCUCACAGCCCUCAGCUAUCUUCACGAGCCUGCUGUACUCCACAAUCUCAGAGUCCGCUUUAUUGAUUCCAAACUUAUUUAUACAUAUUGUGGUAUAGUCCUAGUAGCUAUAAAUCCUUAUGAACAGCUGCCUAUUUAUGGAGAAGAUAUUAUUAAUGCAUAUAGUGGUCAGAACAUGGGUGAUAUGGAUCCACAUAUCUUUGCAGUAGCUGAAGAAGCUUACAAGCAAAUGGCCAGAGAUGAACGAAAUCAGUCCAUCAUUGUAAGUGGAGAGUCUGGGGCAGGAAAAACAGUUUCAGCUAAGUAUGCCAUGCGAUACUUUGCAACUGUAAGUGGUUCCGCCAGUGAAGCCAAUGUUGAGGAAAAGGUGUUGGCAUCCAACCCCAUCAUGGAGUCAAUCGGAAAUGCUAAGACAACCAGGAAUGAUAAUAGCAGCCGUUUUGGGAAGUACAUUGAGAUUGGUUUUGAUAAGAGACAUCGAAUCAUUGGUGCCAAUAUGAGAACUUACCUUUUAGAGAAAUCCAGAGUGGUGUUCCAGGCAGAAGAGGAGAGAAACUAUCAUAUCUUCUAUCAGCUUUGUGCCUCAGCAAAGUUACCUGAAUUUAAAAUGCUGCGAUUAGGAGACGCAAAUAACUUUCAUUACACGAAGCAAGGUGGCAGUCCUGUGAUUGAAGGAGUAGAUGAUGCCAAGGAGAUGGCACAAACCAGGCAGGCCUGCACUUUGCUAGGAAUUAGUGAAUCUUAUCAGAUGGGAAUUUUCCGAAUACUUGCUGGCAUCCUUCACUUAGGCAAUGUUGGAUUUAUGUCUCGAGAUUCAGACAGCUGCACAAUCCCUCCCAAGCAUGAACCUCUCAGCAUCUUCUGUGACCUCAUGGCUGUGGACUUUGAGGAGAUGUGUCACUGGCUCUGCCAUCGGAAGCUGGCUACUGCCGCGGAGACAUACAUCAAGCCCAUCUCCAAGCUGCAGGCCACGAAUGCCCGCGAUGCACUGGCCAAGCACAUCUAUGCCAAGCUCUUUAACUGGAUUGUAGAUCAUGUCAAUCAGGUUCUCCAUUCUGCUGUCAAACAGCACUCUUUUAUCGGCGUGCUGGACAUUUAUGGAUUUGAAACAUUUGAGAUAAAUAGUUUUGAACAGUUCUGCAUAAAUUAUGCAAAUGAAAAACUACAGCAGCAAUUCAAUAUGCAUGUCUUCAAAUUAGAACAAGAGGAAUAUAUGAAAGAACAAAUUCCAUGGACACUCAUAGAUUUUUAUGAUAAUCAGCCUUGCAUUAAUCUUAUAGAAUCUAAACUGGGCAUUCUAGAUUUGCUGGAUGAGGAAUGCAAGAUGCCUAAAGGCACAGAUGACACUUGGGCCCAAAAAUUGUACAACACACAUUUGAACAAAUGUGCACUCUUUGAGAAGCCCCGUCUAUCAAACAAAGCUUUCAUCAUCCAGCAUUUUGCUGACAAAGUGGAAUACCAGUGUGAAGGCUUUCUGGAAAAGAAUAAAGACACUGUUUUUGAAGAACAAAUUAAAGUUCUUAAAUCAAGCAAGUUUAAGAUGCUACCAGAAUUAUUUCAAGAUGAUGAGAAGGCCAUCAGUCCAAGCUCAGCCACCUCUUCAGGGCGCACGCUCCUUACCCGCACUCCUGCAAAGCCCACCAAAGGCAGACCAGGCCAGGCAGCCAAAGAGCACAAGAAGACGGUGGGGCACCAGUUCCGAAACUCCCUUCACCUGCUUAUGGAGACCCUGAAUGCCACUACCCCUCACUACGUUCGCUGUAUUAAGCCUAACGACUUCAAGUUCCCAUUCACGUUUGAUGAGAAGAGGGCAGUACAGCAGCUGAGAGCGUGCGGUGUCCUGGAAACCAUCCGAAUCAGCGCAGCAGGUUUCCCCUCUCGGUGGACUUACCAAGAAUUUUUCAGCCGCUACCGUGUCCUAAUGAAGCAAAAAGAUGUGCUAAGUGAGAGAAAACAAACAUGCAAGAAUGUUUUAGAGAAACUGAUAGAGGACAAGGACAAAUACCAGUUUGGGAAGACAAAGAUCUUUUUCCGUGCCGGUCAAGUGGCCUAUCUGGAAAAAUUGAGGGCAGACAAAUUGAGGGCUGCCUGCAUCCGGAUCCAGAAGACGAUCCGAGGGUGGCUGCUGCGGAAGAAGUUCCUGCGCAUGCGCAAGGCUGCCAUCACUGUGCAGAGAUACGUGCGAGGCCACCAAGCCCGAUGUUAUGCUAAGUUCCUGCGCAGAACCAAGGCAGCAACCAUCAUUCAGAAGUACUGGCGCAUGUAUGUAAUCCGCCAGAGGUACAAGAUCUGGCGGACUGCCACGAUCGUCCUUCAGUCUUACCUUCGAGGCUACUUGGCCAGAAAUAGGUAUCGCAAGAUACUCCGUGAGCACAAAGCAGUCAUCAUUCAGAAGUGGGUCCGGGGCUGGCUGGCUCGCACCUACUACAAGAGGAGUAUGCACGCCAUCAUCUACCUUCAGUGCUGCUUCCGGCGGAUGAUGGCCAAGCGCGAGCUGAAGAAGCUCAAGAUCGAGGCCCGCUCCGUGGAGCGCUACAAGAAGCUCCACAUUGGCAUGGAGAACAAGAUCAUGCAGCUGCAGCGCAAAGUUGACGAACAGAACAAAGACUACAAAUGCCUCAUGGAGAAACUGACCAAUCUGGAAGGAAUAUACAACUCUGAGACCGAGAAACUACGAAGUGACUUAGAACGUCUUCAACUAAGUGAGGAAGAAGCUAAGAUUGCUACUGGACGUGUCCUCAGUCUGCAGGAAGAAAUUGCCAAGCUCCGGAAAGACCUGGAACAAACUCAGUGUGAGAAAAAAUCCAUUGAAGAGUGUGCUGAUAGAUACAAACAAGAAACUGAGCAGUUGGUAUCAAAUCUGAAGGAAGAAAAUACUUUGCUGAAGCAGGAAAAAGAGGCCCUCAAUCACCUUAUCGUGGAGCAGGCUAAGGAGAUGACAGAGACUAUGGAAAAGAAGUUAAUAGAAGAAACAAAACAACUGGAACUCGAUCUUAAUGAUGAAAGGCUGAGAUAUCAGAACCUUCUGAAUGAGUUCAGUCGCUUGGAAGAACGAUAUGAUGACCUCAAGGAAGAGAUGACUUUGAUGGUUAAUGUGCCUAAGCCUGGACACAGGAGAACAGACUCCACCCACAGCAGCAAUGAGUCCGAAUACACCUUUAGCUCUGAAAUUGCAGAAACUGAAGACAUUCCAUCAAGGACAGAGGAGCCAAGCGAGAAGAAGGUGCCUCUGGACAUGUCAUUGUUCCUCAAGCUCCAGAAGCGGGUCACAGAGCUGGAGCAGGAGAAGCAGGUGAUGCAGGAUGAGCUGGACCGCAAGGAGGAGCAGGUGCUCCGAAGUAAGGCAAAGGAAGAAGAAAGACCACAAAUUAGAGGUGCAGAACUGGAAUAUGAGUCGCUCAAGCGUCAAGAGCUAGAAUCAGAAAACAAAAAACUGAAAAAUGAGCUGAAUGAGUUACGCAAGGCCCUUAGUGAGAAAAGUGCCCCCGAGGUGACCGCUCCAGGUGCCCCAGCCUACCGUGUCCUCAUGGAGCAGCUGACCUCUGUGAGUGAGGAGCUCGAUGUCCGCAAGGAGGAAGUCCUCAUCUUGAGGUCUCAACUGGUGAGCCAGAAAGAGGCCAUCCAACCCAAGGAUGACAAGAAUACAAUGACAGAUUCCACAAUACUUUUAGAAGAUGUACAAAAAAUGAAAGAUAAAGGCGAAAUAGCACAAGCAUAUAUCGGUUUGAAAGAAACAAACAGAUCAUCUGCUAUGGAUGGCCAUGAGUUGAAUGAGGAUGGAGAGCUGUUGCUGGUUUAUGAAGGGUUGAAACAAGCCAACAGGCUCCUGGAAUCCCAGCUGCAGUCGCAGAAGAGGAGCCAUGAGAAUGAGGCCGAAGCCCUCCGCGGGGAGAUCCAGAGCCUGAAGGAGGAGAACAACCGGCAGCAGCAGCUGCUGGCCCAGAACCUGCAGCUGCCCCCAGAGGCCCGCAUCGAGGCCAGCCUGCAGCACGAGAUCACCCGGCUCACCAACGAGAACCUGUAUUUUGAGGAAUUAUAUGCAGAUGAUCCUAAGAAGUAUCAAUCAUAUCGGAUUUCACUUUACAAACGGAUGAUUGAUUUGAUGGAACAACUCGAAAAACAAGAUAAGACUGUCCGGAAACUGAAAAAACAACUGAAAGUAUUUGCCAAAAAAAUCGGUGAACUAGAAGAUAUCAUAACGUUGGUGGAUGGUGGUGAUUUUCAGCGCUGAUAGUCCCGGUGUGUGAUGCUGCGGCAUAAGGUGGACGAGGUGUCACCAGGCUCUGUGCCACAUGAGCAAGAGCACUGGCAGUGGGCCAAAUGGAGAACAUAUCCCCAGGACAGAUCAUUGAUGAGCCCAUUCGUCCAGUCAACAUUCCCAGAAAAGAAAAGGAUUUCCAAGGAAUGCUGGAAUACAAGAAGGAGGAUGAGCAAAAACUUGUUAAGAACUUGAUUCUGGAACUGAAGCCACGUGGUGUAGCAGUCAAUUUGAUUCCAGGGUUACCAGCGUAUAUCCUGUUUAUGUGUGUUCGACACGCUGACUACCUGAAUGAUGAUCAGAAAGUAAGGUCGUUGCUAACAUCAACAAUAAACAGCAUCAAAAAAGUAUUAAAGAAAAGAGGUGAUGAUUUUGAAACUGUCUCCUUCUGGCUUUCUAACACAUGCCGAUUUUUGCACUGUUUGAAGCAGUACAGUGGAGAAGAGGGCUUUAUGAAACACAACACAUCUCGCCAGAAUGAACACUGCCUCACCAAUUUUGACCUGGCUGAGUACCGACAGGUGCUAAGUGACUUGGCCAUUCAGAUCUACCAGCAGCUCGUGCGGGUGUUAGAGAACAUCCUUCAGCCAAUGAUCGUCUCCGGAAUGCUAGAGCAUGAAACCAUUCAGGGUGUGUCUGGGGUGAAGCCCACAGGGCUAAGAAAGCGAACCUCCAGCAUUGCUGAUGAGGGUACCUACACACUGGACUCCAUCCUGCGGCAGCUCAACUCUUUCCACUCAGUCAUGUGUCAGCACGGCAUGGACCCCGAACUGAUCAAGCAGGUGGUCAAGCAGAUGUUCUACAUCGUGGGGGCCGUCACACUGAACAACCUCCUCCUCCGGAAGGACAUGUGCUCCUGGAGUAAAGGCAUGCAGAUCAGGUACAAUGUCAGUCAACUAGAAGAAUGGCUGCGUGACAAGAAUCUGAUGAACAGUGGGGCUAAGGAAACCCUGGAACCUCUCAUUCAGGCUGCUCAGCUUUUGCAAGUGAAAAAGAAAACAGAUGAUGAUGCAGAAGCCAUUUGUUCCAUGUGCAAUGCUUUAACUACUGCCCAGAUUGUCAAAGUGUUGAAUUUGUAUACUCCAGUUAACGAGUUUGAAGAAAGAGUCUCUGUGUCAUUUAUUCGUACUAUACAGAUGCGUUUACGAGACAGGAAAGACUCUCCUCAGCUGCUCAUGGAUGCUAAACACAUCUUUCCUGUCACCUUUCCUUUUAACCCAUCUUCCCUUGCACUAGAAACCAUCCAGAUUCCAGCCAGCCUGGGCCUGGGAUUCAUAUCACGGGUCUGAAAGUGAUAUCAAGGAAAAUAUUGACAAUACAAUACUUGCCUGAAAUAACCCAUUAUUUCAAGUGAGGUACUGAAAACACAUUUUAAAAGAGAUAGUACUUAUUAUCUCCCAAACAAGGGGUUAUUGACUGGAACUCCCCCUAGAAUACUUUUCAUCAUCUUGGAAAGAAAGAUAGGCUCCUUUGUGCUGUGUUACCUUUUAACAACACUCAUCCUUGAUCAGUUAGGUAUCUGCAGUUGACGUGCAGGUGAAUGAUGGAAGGAAGGAAAAAAUUGUGUCUUCAGCUGCCAGCAUUUAUUUUAAAUCCUUAUCACUGCAUCUAAAUGAUAUCAAAAACCUAAAUUCCAGAUAUGAAUAUGAGCUGUUGUUAGAAAGGUACCAAUAAGGAACCUCCUGUGUGCUAACCAGAAGAAUUGAAAGAAAAAUCAUCACUGAGUACAUAUCAUACCAGUUUAGGAAUCAAUUACGUUGCUACUGUCCAACUGGAACAAAGAAAUAAACUGGCAAUAUGUAAAGUAACUGGCCAAGUAGCUCCCUUCUAUGUGUCACUAUGAUGUAGAGAUACUAAGAGAAUGUUGGUUUGCUAUAGAGCAUGGAAGUCCGUUUGUACCAUAGUUUACUGAGCAUUUUAAAUUGCUGCUACAUACUAUGUUCUUUAAAAUGUAAGCGAUAUUCAUAUUAGGCACUACGAUAAUAAGCUUCUCUUUUAUCAACUCUGUUUACAGUUCAAUCAGAUCAGUUUUAACUGGAUUAUGUGCACAUAGCUGCAGAUUCACCUGCACAAGUAGCAGACACUGGGAAGUCAUGUAGUAAUAUGACACAAUGUUUGACAUUUAGGGAUAGGAUUAGGCAAAGUGGCUAUUGUUGAUGUCCUUUAUUCAGGAUGUGUUACAUUGAUGUGCUCAUUAAUUUUCCCUGGGCACAUAUCACAUCAGGGUACAGUGUUCUGUGAAGUGACCUAUUUUUAGUUAUCAGAUCUGCUUCCUGCAGUGCAUAUUUUCAACCUUGACAGGUUUUCUUUCUUCUUAAUUUAUUAAGAAUUAAUGUCAGUCAAUAUCUAGAGAGGAUUGUCAGAAUAUUCAUGAUUUAGGUCUUGAAAUCUUAAUUAUUUUAUAAAUUAUGCAAAAGAAAGUAUAUAACAAAUAAUUACGAUUCCAUUUUUUAGGCUUUGCAACUUCUAUAAAUGUUCUCAAUACCACUAGAUACUUUAAAGAGCAUCAUAUUAGAAAUACAUUGACCUAUAUAAAAAUAUAAGGAGAUUGCUGAAUUUUACAGAGGAUUUGGUUUAAUAAGACCCAGAUUCUAUAUGUUUUCAUUCUGAAAUUCUAAUUAAACGUAGUCUCCAUUUUUCCUACAAAUCUUAUACAAUAAAUGUUUCAGGUUGUGCAAAAGCAAAUUCUUAGCUUUCUUUAGAAACUUUGGUUCUGAAUUACAAUCAUAGAUUUAUAUAAAUUAACUAUUAGAUGAUCUAUAAAAAAGACAUCUUAUUAAAAUAUGUGCAAUAUUAUAAAUGCAAGUAAAACAUUUUCAAAUCAGUGAUAAAUAUUGCUAUUAAAAGAUAAAUUCUGUCUGUUAACUUAUUUGGGCCUCAAAUUCCUCAUUUAUUCAGUGAGAGUGUUAGACAGCUGGUUCUUAAGGUCCCUUCCACAUCUGAAGUUCUCUCCUCACCGUACCUGAACCACAGAGAAGUGAGAUGCAGGUACUCAGUAAGGUUACCCUCCAAUGGAAAGACUAGUGUUUGGUGCCUGUUAAUUUUGAGGGAUUAAUAAAAUGUAAAAUCACAGGUUUGUGUAGCUGUAAUCUUUCUUAAAUGUACAUGAUUUAUGUACAUGCUUUUUCAAAGUUAAUGAGUUUAGGUAGUUUUUAUUGAAUUGUGCACUGCUGUAUUCAGUUUGGAUACAUUUAUUCAUUUGCAAAACCAAGAAAAAUACUAACUCAAUCCUAUUUUCCCUGGUUGUCAAUGUGGUUUUCAAUGAACUGUUGAAACCACGUGGUUAGUACUGAAUCUGUCAGAGUCUUAAGAACAUAGAUGGGACUUGGGUGGGAGAGAUGCUCCAAAAAAUGCCACCAUGAUUGUAGGCUCUCCCCCUCAGACCUAGAAAUCCUCCCAGGCCCUUUCCCAGCUCAGUCCUGUGUAGCAUGUCCCGUACACACCCUGAGUCUUGUCAGGUCUUCAGGAUCACACUCUAGCUUCCACUGCCACUGCAGCCCUUUAUCUUUCCUGCAGACAGCUCAUAUCCUGAAGCAUGUGUUGUCUGGGCCUUUCUCUCUCUCCUGUCUUCCAUCUUCCUGCUGCAAAGUGCUGGAGCCUCUGUUCCACACCUGGGCCAGAGUCUCUCCUGUUCAGGGAUGGCCACACAAAGAUUAUGAUAUUUCAGGGCUCCAACUUCCUCCAAGGCCUAUCUAAAACCCCAGAAGCGGAUCUGAAUUAAUUUCUCUUAGUGGUCUAAAGAUCUUUGGUCAUAACAGAAAUACCUUACAACCAGGGAACCUCAAGUCCUGGUAAGUCAUUCUGUGUCCUACUUUCUUGAGGAUGCAGGAAUAUUCUGCUGACUGUGGGUAUCCUUGGCCUCUGAGGACUGCUCACCUUUCCCUUUGUCCAUCCACACUUUCUCACCCAGCUUCAAACACACCUGCACCAGCCCUCCACUCCGUCCACCCACUCAUUUAUCUGCUCACUCUGUCCCUUCCUUCAGCCACAUCCUGUGUCCCAUCGCCUGUCCAUUCACCUGCUCUGACUCUUUUGAAGGCUGUGGGUGAAGGCAGUCCUCAGUUGCCCCACUGGCCUGCAUGGGGGCUACCCUUCAGGCCACUCUUUGCAUGAGUUCUUGCUGUUCUCACUUCUCUGCAGUACGAUCUUUAGCAUUAUCACUAAUUUGCUUUUUCAUAAUUCCUCUAUGACAUACAAUAGGAAUUCAAAGAAAGAAUUAUUUGAGAAAGCAACAGUUCAUUGUUUUAAUAGCCCCUUCUCAAUAGUCUCCUCCCCACUCACUGUACAGAGAAACUCAGCUCACACCUUGGAAAGCAAAGCUGAAAACUUAGAAGCAGUUUCCCUUCUUGUAGCUUUUCUUAGGUUAAGGCUUUGCUCUGCCUGAGAGUAACUAUAAUGAAGGGGAAAGAUGAGUAUGGGGUAAACUCCAUGAAGUGUAGCUUCAUUAUUCCUUUGGAAGUUGUGAAAGUGCACCUGACACUUCUUUCAUCAAUUGCAAAAGUACAACAAUAUAUAUUCCAAAGCCAACUGAUAGGAGAUUUGGGGAUUCGGGCCAGUUUGUGUCAUUUACUUUACUAUUUCCUUCAUUUUAAUGGAUAAUUGAGAGUUGUCUCUUUCUGAGUAAGUGAUUACGUAUAAUAUAGAUCAAAUCUUUUAAUAACAGUGGCAGAGGCCGUGAAAAUAUUUUAUUAGAAUUUCAGUAUAGUGAUUGUUGUGAGAAAUGACUUCCCUGGUAACCCUAGGUAAAAGGGCAUCUGGCACCAUCCUGAGAUGUCCUCAUAUUCUCUCUCUCUCUCUUUCUCUCUCUCUCUCUCUUUCUUACACACACACACAGAGUCUUCAGUAUCUUCAACUAUUUAGAAUAAAACAGAAAGCAAAAUGUCAUGUGUGGCCCUUCAGUUCUCCUGGUGAAAGGUAAUGUAGAGACAGUACCUUGUGUCUGGCUAUGCUUCACUUCAGCCUUUCUCUGUUACCUCAUUGUGUCCUCACAGCAGCCCUAGAAGGUAGAAGGGCAGCUACUACAGUCCUUAGCUGAUGAUAAUUUGAGAGAGAGAUAAGGGCAGUGACUUGCCUGAGGUCACUCAGCCCUCCAGCUGUGCUGUCUUCCCAUAUGCAGCAGUGGCACUGAGGGCACAUGCAGGGCAGGAGACUUUAGAAAGUCCUGAGGUUCCAUUCUGCUUCUCCUGGUACCUGUGGGGUGCCCCAGUCCAGCAAGAGGUGCUCCUUUUCCUUAUUAGAGUUGGCAACUGGCAUAUGGGAGGUGAGGAAAUGAUGGGUACCAAGUUCUUGGUGCUAAUCAGAUGGGGUGCCUUGUGGUUUCCUCUUUGUUGUAGUUACCUGCUAUAACUAGGUUUGGCUUUUGUAAUGAAUCAGUGCCCCCCUGGAGGGUACAGUACUCUGUUUUGGUCAUUAAUUAGUAGCAAGCUCUCCCAGCCUGACAAGAAGCGGUGAGAGCCUCCCAAAAGGAAAGAGGAAGGUCGCUCUCAACACACAGACCUCAGAGUCACUGUCAGAGCCACCAGGGGAGCUGUGCAGCCUGCAGAGAACCUGCAGCUGCAGGCCAAGCCCCUGGGUCCCUUCUGAGGGCUGUCUCCCAGGCAGGCCAUACAUAAGUCAGUGUGUAGUUGAACAUGACGGUGUGUGCAUGCUUCCAGUGUUGGAUUUGGAGCCAAGAGGUGUGCUGUGUGCAUGUGUGUUAGAGAGGCUCAGUGUAUGGGUAAGUGCAUUGUGAUUUCUUCUCAGGCUGUGCUGUGAGGGCCGCCUUAACCCCUGCUCCCUUCCCUCCUAGAGCUGCCUUAAGUUCUCUGGAACUUCUCCUCUGUAAGGGGAUGUCUUGCCUGGAAAGGAUAUCUUGCCCUGUUUCUCAAGGUGUUGUGAGGGUUUGGGUGGGUGCGGCCUCCUUUCUUCCUUCGUUCCCUUUCUGCAUGACCCUCCCCUCCUGUUACUUCUCCUUCCUUUCUUUUCUCUCAUUUCCAAACAGGUAUUAGAACUGUGAGGCAGCAGCAAUCUCAGAGCCAAUGAAAUGUGGUCUGAGAGAGUGUUUCCUGAGGUUAGGGGGCUCUGUGUUACAAUUAAGCAAAUGAAUAUAUGGAAGAAAUAUAGAGAUAAGUUAGAUUCUUGGUAAUAUUUAAAUGGCUUGUUUUCCACUGAACUGACCUGUGCUUAGUAAAGCUAAAAGGUAUAACUGUAAAAUCUUUCAUGGACAUUCAUUAAAAAAAAUUUUGAGAACCCUUUACGCAUAUCAAAGAUGGAGUGAAAAUAGGAAAGAGUGCUAUAAGUUCUAAUUCAUUGUAUUCAGUAUUACCCUAAAUUAAGUGAACCUGAGGUUACAGUACAUUUCUCAAUAGAUCAGGAACUGAAAAGCACUAUGUAAAAUAUCUGCCAAAAUGCAUUUUAUACAUUUUUUUUUAAUUUUAUAAUUUGGUUUAGCUAAAAUGUUCAUUAGCUCAAUUUAAUGGGUGUUAUUAGAUUCACUAAGAUGACUGAAAAUGACUAACAUUUCCUUAGUAUUGUAAUGUUUCUUGAAAUAUUUGAAAGAAAAAAUGUUUUUUGAGUUGAAUCUGGUAUGUGCAAUUCAGUGCUUGGUAGGUCAGUACAUUCUCAUGGCAUUUUUCAGAGUCAGUAGUUUUAAAUAUUGUCAUUAUAUGUUAUAAAAACUUGGUCGACAUUUCAGGCUCUCUACAUGAGCCAUUUAAUUUUAUCCAACAUAUGCUGAAUUUUUCCUUUAAAUGUGGGUAUGUGUGUUAUAAUUUAUGAUUCCUAGUUAUGUAUUUUUGUGGAACACUGGAGUUAGGUUGAUUUUCAUGUGUCCUUGGAAAAUUUAAAUUGCUCUAACAGUGUUGCACAGAAAUGAGCUUAUGACAUUUGAUAUAUUGUAUUUUGAUUACUAACUUUAAUUGUUAACUUACUGUGAAAUGGAUAUGCCUUUUAACUACAAUGACAUUGAACAUUGCCCAUUGCAGUUUUUCAAAUGUUUUCCCUUGUUGGAUCUGGAAAAGAAAUUCUACUCUGAUCUACAUAGAAAAACAUGAUAUAGUUAAUGUUUGAAAAGUUCUUAGGUAAAAUAGUCAUCCAUUAAAAAUCAAAAGUAGGGCUUCCCUGGUGGUGCAGUGGUUGAGAGUCCACCUGCCAAUGCAGGGGACGCGGGUUUGUGCCCCGGUCCGGGAAGAUCCCACAUGCCGUGGAGCGGCUGGGCCCGUGAGCCAUGGCCGCUGAGCCUGCGCGUCCGGAGCCUGUGCUCCGCAACGGGAGAGGCCACAACAGUGAGAGGCCCGCGUACCGCCAAAAAAACCAAAAAAACAAAAAACAAAAGCAAAAGCACUGAGAAGUGAAACGCAUUAUCAACCAAUACUACUUUUAAACUAAACCUACCCCAGCAUAUCUCACAUGGAAUUUUAAAGAAUAAGUUAAUAAUACACCUCAUAUCAACAAAAGCCUUUGAAACAUGGAUUUUCACCAGAUAUCACCUAGUGCUAAGAUGAAAACCAAAACAAUAUCAGAUUGACAUUUAUGCUCUAAAUUUGUAGUUGUCUAAUGUUGUACUUAGUAAAUGUGCAUCACUAAUGCUGUAUUCUCCUAGAUAUUAUAGAAAAUUGUUCAAAUAAAGAUAUGGAUAUAAAGGA